UUCCAUACUGUAAUAAAGAAUCAGAAGACAAGAAAAUAAACAUUAGGACUGUCAAUUAAUGAACAUUUCUAGAACAUGUAGAACUCAAAGAUUAUUUUGUUUAUCAGUUAAAAAAGGAUGCUGGUCCUCUGGCCAUUGUGUUUGGUCAUAUUGAAAAGAGAAAAAGGCAUAGCCAUUAAUACAGUUAAUAGGACGGGAGGGGACAGGCUGUUGGCUCCGGUUAGCACUUUAGCAUCGAUCUAGCGGAGCUUCUGUCAUUCAAAUAACUCGGACAUGUUGUUUAAAACCUAUAACACCCAAUUUAUUAAAAUAUCCAGAUUUAAUCAGACUCUCUCCCAUAAGUACAGUUAAUAGGACGGGAAGAGACAGGCUCUGUUAGCCCCGGUUAGCGCGAUGCUAAAGAGCAGCUCUACCGGAGCAUGCCACCUCAACAGGUGCAAGUUAGCCUCCGGUUUGAUAUUCGCCGGAUAUUCAGUUUACCACCCAUUCGGAUUCAUCAACAUAAGUGCAAUACAUUACGGGCUUAGUAUGUUGAGGACGGUUUAGGACACCGUAUCGCGAAAAUCACAAACACAUGUUGGCGCCAUCGAUGUCUGUGCAACAACUAGUGUUGGCUCGUUCGUUCGCGAACCGGUUCGAAUGACCGAGUCUUUAGGACGAACGAACUGAACCGGUUCGUCUCUCUCGUUCGUUCGGUCGUCUCGUUCACCAUUCGAUUCAACGGAAACUCGACUGAACGAACGAACGAGUUUCCGGUAGCACUAACUCCACUGUGUCUGACUGACUCAGCUGAGAACCGUGCAAUGGCGUGCAUUCCAUGAUGCCAUUCACCGUUACCGGAAACAAGGCUGAAUCGCGAACGAUUCCUCCACGUUCAGUCGAGUGUCCGGUGAAUCGAUUCACCGGAAACUCGACUGAACUGGGAGGAGGCGUUCACGAAUCGUAUGUUCGUUCAGCCUGGUUUCCGGUAGCGGUAAAUCGCAUCAUGGAAUGGACCCCAUUGCACGGUUCUCAGCUGAGUCAGUCAGACUCAGUGGAGUUAGUGCUACCGGAAACUCGACUGAACGAACGAACGAUUCGCGAACGACACCUCGUGGCGAACUGAAUCACGCGAACUGGGUCACGGAAACUAAUCAUUGAAUCCACCAGUAGCAACAACGUCAUUUACGUUCUGGCUGCUACCUGUUUUAGGGACCGUCAACAAGUUACACUCACCGACUGGUGGCAGAGACGUUACCAUGGAAUUGUUUCUGGAAAUAAAUCAUAUAAAAUAACAUAAAAAUCACUAAAAAAUACAUUUUGUCACCUGAUUGUAGUAGUAGUUGCCAAUGGUGGGCUGCUACUUACUGCGGGUAACUUUGCUAAUAUAUUGCAUUAUUGUUAAACGGGAUGCAAUUAAUAAUUUCAAAUAUAGUUUAGUCGAUUUUUGUUGAAUAUUAAACUAUUAACUGCAUUAUGAUAUUGCAAUAUAUUUGUGUGAUUAAUUUCCUGAAACAAUUCCAUGGUAACGUCUCUGCCACCAGUCGGUGAGUGUAAUUUGCUGACGGUCCCUAAAACAGGUAGCAGCCAGAACGUAAAUGACGUUGUUGCACCGACAUCGAUGGCGCCAACAUGUGUUUGUGAUUUUUCGCGAUACGGUGUCCUAAACCGUCCUCAACAUACUAAGCCCUAUGGAAGGGGAGAUUUGGAGGUACCUGGUCAGGUCUUGGUCAGCCUUCAAAUCCCAGAUGUGGAGACUGCAGGGAUACCUCACAGAGAAGACACUAAAGAGCCAUCUCUCAUUCAUCAAGUGGACUCAUUGGUUUGCGAAUGACCACAAAGAUGCUCCCAUAGGCAGAUUGCUGCAUGACAUUCACCACUUAUUCAAAUUGUAGAGGUUGAAGCAGUCUUCCUUGUGGUCACUUGCCAUAACACUGUCAUUUGUUUUAUGAAAACACCAUCAGUAACAUUUAAA